rnacentral:rRNA from 3 species
GUUGUAUAGUCAAGUAAUUAAGUGCAUGUGGUGGAUGCCUUGGCAGUCAGAGGCGAUGAAAGACGUGAUAGCCUGCGAAAAGCUCCGGGGAGGCGGCAAAUAUCCUUUGAUCCGGAGAUGUCUGAAUGGGGGAACCCACCUACUUUAAGGUAGGUAUUGCAACAUGAAUACAUAGUGUUGCAAGGCGAACGAGGGGAAGUGAAACAUCUCAGUACCCUUAGGAAAAGAAAUCAAUUGAGAUUCCCUCAGUAGCGGCGAGCGAACGGGGAUCAGCCCAUUAAGUUAUGUGUGUUUUAGUGGAACGCUCUGGGAAGUGCGAACGUAGAGGGUGAUAUUCCCGUACACGAAAGGGCACACAUAAUGAUGACGAGUAGGGCGAGGCACGUGAAACCUUGUCUGAAUAUGGGGGGACCAUCCUCCAAGGCUAAAUACUCCUGACUGACCGAUAGUGAACCAGUACCGUGAGGGAAAGGCGAAAAGAACCCCUGUGAGGGGAGUGAAAUAGAUCCUGAAACCGCAUGCAUACAAGCAGUGGGAGCACCUUCGUGGUGUGACUGCGUACCUUUUGUAUAAUGGGUCAGCGACUUAUAUUCAGUAGCGAGGUUAACCGUAUAGGGGAGCCGUAGAGAAAUCGAGUCUUAAUAGGGCGUUUAGUUGCUGGGUAUAGACCCGAAACCAGGCGAUCUAUCCAUGAGCAGGUUGAAGGUUGGGUAACACUAACUGGAGGACCGAACCCACUGUCGUUGAAAAGCCAGGGGAUGACUUGUGGAUAGGGGUGAAAGGCUAAUCAAGCCUGGUGAUAGCUGGUUCUCCCCGAAAGCUAUUUAGGUAGCGCCUCGGACGAAUACCAUAGGGGGUAGAGCACUGUUUCGGCUAGGGGGUCAUCCCGACUUACCAAACCGAUGCAAACUCCGAAUACCUAUGAGUACUAUCCGGGAGACAGACUGCGGGUGCUAACGUCCGUAGUCAAGAGGAAAACAAUCCAGACCGCCAGCUAAGGCCCCAAAAUCAUAGUUAAGUGGGAAACGAUGUGGGAAGGCAUAGACAGCUAGGAGGUUGGCUUAGAAGCAGCCACCCUUUAAAGAAAGCGUAAUAGCUCACUAGUCGAGUCGGCCUGCGCGGAAGAUGUAACGGGGCUAAAACUAUGUGCCGAAGCUGCGGAUGUAUACUUUGUAUACGUGGUAGGGGAGCGUUCUGUAAGCCGAUGAAGGUGUGUUGAGAAGCAUGCUGGAGGUAUCAGAAGUGCGAAUGCUGACGUGAGUAACGACAAAACGGGUGAAAAACCCGUUCGCCGAAAGACCAAGGGUUCCAGUCCAACGUUAAUCGGGGCUGGGUGAGUCGACCCCUAAGGCGAGGCCGAAAGGCGUAGUCGAUGGGAAAAUGGUUAAUAUUCCAUUACUUCUGUGUAAUGCGAUGAGAGGACGGAGAAGGCUAAAUCAGCCUGGCGUUGGUUGUCCAGGUGAAAGGAUGUAGGCAUGUAUCUUAGGCAAAUCCGGGGUACUCUAUGCUGAGAUCUGAUAGCAAGCUGUACUUGUACAGCGAAGUGGUUGAUGCCAUGCUUCCAGGAAAAGUCUCUAAGCUUCAGUUACACAGGAAUCGUACCCGAAACCGACACAGGUGGUCAGGUCGAGUAGACCAAGGCGCUUGAGAGAACUCUGCUGAAGGAACUAGGCAAAAUGGUACCGUAACUUCGGGAGAAGGUACGCUGUUGUUGGUGAUGGAACUCGCUUCCUGAGCUGACGACAGCCGCAGAAACCAGGCCGCUGCAACUGUUUAUUAAAAACAUAGCACUCUGCAAACACGAAAGUGGACGUAUAGGGUGUGAUGCCUGCCCGGUGCUGGAAGGUUAAUUGAUGGGGUUAGCGUAAGCGAAGCUCUUGAUCGAAGCCCCAGUAAACGGCGGCCGUAACUAUAACGGUCCUAAGGUAGCGAAAUUCCUUGUCGGGUAAGUUCCGACCUGCACGAAUGGCAUAAUGAUGGCGGCGCUGUCUCCAGCAGAGGCUCAGUGAAAUCGAAAUCGCUGUGAAGAUGCAGUGUACCCGCGGCUAGACGGAAAGACCCCGUGAACCUUUACUGCAGCUUGACACUGAACUUUGACCUUACUUGUGUAGGAUAGGUGGGAGGCUUUGAAGCUGGAACGCUAGUUCCAGUGGAGCCGUCCUUGAAAUACCACCCUGGUAAUGUUGAGGUUCUAACUCUGUCCCGUGAUCCGGGACGAGGACCGUGUCUGGUGGGUAGUUUGACUGGGGCGGUCUCCUCCUAAAGAGUAACGGAGGAGUACGAAGGUGCGCUCAGCGUGGUCGGAAAUCACGCGUAGAGUAUAAAGGCAAAAGCGCGCUUAACUGCGAGACCCACAAGUCGAGCAGGUACGAAAGUAGGUCUUAGUGAUCCGGUGGUUCUGUAUGGAAGGGCCAUCGCUCAACGGAUAAAAGGUACUCUGGGAUAACAGGCUGAUACCGCCCAAGAGUUCAUAUCGACGGCGGUGUUUGGCACCUCGAUGUCGGCUCAUCUCAUCCUGGGGCUGAAGCAGGUCCCAAGGGUAUGGCUGUUCGCCAUUUAAAGAGGUACGCGAGCUGGGUUUAGAACGUCGUGAGACAGUUCGGUCCCUAUCUACCGUGGGCGCUGGAAAUUUGAGAGGAUCUGCUCCUAGUACGAGAGGACCAGAGUGGACGAACCUCUGGUGUACCGGUUGUGACGCCAGUCGCAUCGCCGGGUAGCUAUGUUCGGAAGGGAUAACCGCUGAAAGCAUCUAAGCGGGAAGCCUACCUCAAGAUAAGAUUUCCCUAGGACUUUAUGUCCUCUAAAGAGCCGUUCGAGACUAGGACGUUGAUAGGUUGGAUGUGGAAGCAUAGUGAUAUGUGAAGCUGACCAAUACUAAUUGCUCGUGAGGCUUGACUAUACAACACCCAAGCAGUUG